UUCGGUCUAGGUUCCGGCGAACCGUCACCGUGCCGUCCGCUGCUCCGGCCACCGUAUACGGUGGCCGGAAAUCACCCGAGGAAGAGUGGGCGGUGCUGGCAGAAAUCGGUAGUGGAGCAGAGGGGAGCACAUGCUGGCGUCGGUGGUGGAGCAGAGGGGAGCACCUGCUGCGGCUAGGGUUCUCUUAGUUCUUCCUUCCCUUUUUAGUCAUUGUGGGCUAGGGUUUUGGUUCUGGGUAGUAGAUUUGGGCUUAUUGGGCUUAGUUAAAUUUGGCCUGUACAAAUAUGUCAUAAAUGCUUUGAUUACAAAAACCCAAAAUUCUCAGCAGCAAAUUCUUCCUGUUCCAUUUCAUUCAUGUUCCCCAAAUUCCAGAAAUUUGCUGCUGCUGUUGUUGUUGUUCCAAAUUUGGGGUUUCACCUAUGUCCUUUAAUUUUUAUUGUUUGUAUUUAUUCUUUUGGUAGCCAAUAAGGAUUCAUUCCACAAUUAUUUA